UACAGAGGGGGCAAGCGUUAUUCGGAAUUACUGGGCGUAAAGCGCGCGCAGGCGGCACACUAAGUACGAUGUGAAAUCUCCCUGCUCAACGGGGAGGGUGCAUAGUAAACUGGUGAGCUAGAGGACGGUAGAGGGGGGUGGAAUUGCUGGUGUAGCGGUGAAAUGCGUAGAGAUCAGCAGGAACACCCGUGGCGAAGGCGGCCCCCUGGGCCGAACCUGACGCUGAGGCGCGAAGGCUAGGGGAGCGAACGGG
rnacentral:rRNA from 1 species